UAAGGAAUAUUGCUCAAUGGGAGAAAUCCUGAAGCAGCAACGCCGCGUGGAGGAUGAAGGGUCUAUGACUUGUAAACUCCUGUAAAGAAGGAAAAAAUUCCCAUUAGAUGGGAGAUGAUGGUACUUCUGGAGUAAGCCCCGGCUAACUACGUGCCAGCAGCCGCGGUAAUACGUAGGGGGCAAGCGUUGUCCGGAUUUACUGGGUGUAAAGGGUGCUCAGGCGGAUUUGUAAGUCAGAGGUGAAAUCUUACAGCUUAACUGUGAAACUGCCUUUGNUACUGCAAGCCUAGAGUAUGGAAGAGAGUGAUGGAAUAUCUGGUGUAGCAGUGAAAUGCGUAGAUAUCAGAUAGAACACCAAUGGCGAAGGCAGUCACUUGGUCCAUUACUGACGCUAAAGCACGAAGGCGUGGGUAGCAAACA
rnacentral:rRNA from 1 species